CCUAAUAAUGAAACACUAGAAAGUAAAGAACCAAAGGGUUGGAAGUAAAUUGACCUCUGUCUCGAAUUCCAAGCAAGGAACCCAACCCUUCCUAAGAAGGUAUUCUACUUCCUUUAAGAGUUGCUCUGUGGUGAGUGGUGGAAGGUAUGAAAGAGUCUCGAACUUCUUCUUGCCAACAGGAGGCCACACCUAGUAGCAUGCAUAAGAUUGAGUAAAUUGGUUAACAAAUUUGUCGUCAAGGACUUUAAUACUAUCAUUUAGUACAUGUUUCAAAUCUCUUCCGCAAUUAUGGGAAGAAACUUACGUGAGUGUCUUCUUUGUCAGAAUUGGUUAGAAUGGAAUAGCUAGAAGCUGUGGUACAAAAAUUUGUAGCAUUGUAAUCAUUUUGAGGCAUCUUACCUGCAUGCAUUGUACUCUUCCACCGUUGUUUGCAAUGGAGGUAAUGUCAUUGUUUGUCUUUCUAACUGGGAAGCCAGCCAUGGACUUGAGGCCAGUGAAUGGAGCCACCAUGCUGGCCUGUGCCGGAGAGGCACCUUUAAUGGUGGUGGCGGCAGCUGAGGAGGUGAUCAUAGAGGAAGCCAUUUUUUCUCCUUUUUCAGUUCUCUAGUCAGAAAUACUUGCAAAGCUUCUACUCAAACAGGGUAUAUAUAUUGCCGAAAUGAUAAACAUUGUAGAAUAUGAACCAAAGAAAUCAUAUCAUGAUAAGAGCUUGACGCCACAGCCAGUGUAGUCCACAAAAUUAUAUCUGGGUUGUAAUAAUCCUCCCCCAAGAACAACUUUUUAGAAUUUUCUUCAGGGAAAAACUCAAAAGGAUAUGUUAAUGGACCCGAAUUUUAAAAUUUGAAACAGAAACUUGAGAAAUUAGCCUUGGGUUUGAGUCAGGGAAAAGUUAUACUCCCUCCGUUCCUUAUUAUAAGGCCAUUUUUUAGAGUUUUUUUUGUUCCUAAAUAUAAGUCCAUUUCAAAUAUUUAGGUAGCAUUGAUUAGUUUUUUCCAAACUUACCCUUACAUUUAAAACUUAAUAUUUCAGUUUUUCAUAUUUUAGUCUAUUUCCAAUGCCACUAUCAUUCACUAACCUUAACUCUACAAAUUCAAGUUUUUCAUCUAUUGGAUUACUUAGUGGACUACAAGAGUAUUAAUUAAAUGCAUUAUAUGGAGUACAAUUCUAGAGAUAGUGGGAUAUUAAUUUGGACUGAGAAUUAGUAAUUGAAGUGUUUAUAAGUAAGAAUAAUUUAGUAAAGUUAAUUAAAAAGUCUUACAAAUUUAUUGCACUUAACUAACUUUAACCACUUUUCUUAAUCCUAGAUAUUUAGGUAAAAUAGACUUAUAAUAAGGAACGGAGGGAGUACCAUAUAACAUAUUUUAACCUUUUAUGUUUGAAACAUUGCGUGUCAAGCUGAGAGUCCUAUUUCAGCUAACGUGGCCACAAGAUUCAAUAGCAUCUCUAUUGGCUUAAAGGUUUUGCAACCAAGCAAGUACCACGAUGGCGGCUAAGAUGACUUAGUUGUGGAACAUUCUGUCCUGACGUAGAUCGAGCGGAUUUUUCCGACUUAUUAAGUACAUUGCAAGGUUACUCAAAGGUAAUCAUCAUCCUGGAAGACUUUCCUUGAGGCUUCCUAAAGACUUCAAGUCACAAAUACGUUGGUUACCGAGCCUAGAAGUACAAGUUUAGUUGUUUCGCUAAGCAUUAUUCAUUAUGAAAACUUUGAGUUCUUAGACUAUGAAAUUCUUUUUUUUUUUUUUGCUCUUUCACUAACUUGAGCGACAGAGUGCCUUCUGCAAGUACACCCCCGCCGUGUCAAUGCUCUACCAUGCUAGAGAAGCCUUCUCAGAUCGCGCACCACCACCGAAGACAAAGUAGAACCACCAAUCUCAAUUCAUGAAUAAUAGAUAUGAAAUUGAAACUUAGGCGAUUAGGGAAUGUAAUAUUGUAGACAAAGGCGUAAAGAAUUAAAAGUUGACACACUUUUUUACUGAUGAAACACUUCAUCCCUAACAAAGAGAGUUUUUUCAUUCAAUCUAGUCAAAUUACUGACAACCUUGACCCUCAGUAAUUUACCGAUGAAAAAGUCGUUGGUACAUUUCCGACGAUCUUAGUCGUCGUAGACAUACUAACAUAAGUGGUCGUCAGUAACUUCCACUACAAGAAUAUGAUUGUAUUGCUCUUGUUAGAGUUUGAUUAAUCUAAAUUUAUAAGUUUCGUUUAGCUUGACUAAUACUCUAAUCUUAUUACUUUUUGAAACAAAAGAAAGAUACACAAUACUUUUUCUUGCAAUGACUAUUUUUUAUUUGGUGAAUUUUGUGGUACCCAAAAAUUAUUUUGGGUAUGAUACCCGCAUUAAGUGAUUUAGUAGAUUAUUGUCAUGUGAAAUAGGAUUUUAACCGUCAAGGUUUAUUGAUGAUAGAGAUGACGACAUCUGGAGAUCGUGACCGUGAAUGAUUGUACUCAGCACCUUUGUUUUGAACAGAUUUUUGGCGAUACAGGGGAGAAGAAGGGUUGUGAACUGUCUAGAGGAUUACUUUGCAAAUAAUGAUAAGAAUAUUAACAUUUAAAAUUUAGAGCAUAUUUUUUUUAUUAGUACACAUCAUUUAGAGUAUGUGUGAUUCAAUUAGAACAUGUCUCUUAUUGAUACACAUCAUUUUAGGUACCAUACCUUGAUCUAGAUUAAGGUAUGAUAGCAAGCCCUUUAAGUCCAUACCUUUUUAUUUUCUCAUUUCUUCCCCAAUUUUUCGUAAUUAGAUUUCCAUUUUCUGAAGUAUUUAGUCAAGUAGCAACAUGAACCUCUUAUCUGUUUCUUUAUCUCCCUGCGGUCUUUUCCACAAAUGUUGCUAUCUAAAGGGAACAGUAUUUAAUGCAACCUUAAAGGCUAAGUUGAGCUGUUAUUUAUCAUGAUUCACAAAUCCCACAACCGCUACUGAUUAACCAAUUAGCAAUUCAUCACAAAAUUGACUAUUUUGGAGGAAAUAACAUUUCUCUAUCACAAAAAUGACCUCAGACUAAUUAUGAGCCAAUGAUCCGAUUCUAACAAAGAUUAGGGUUUUGAUGGUUCAAAAAAAUGUUGCAUAUUUUUUAUACAAAAACUUAAGGCAGGGGAUGUUGACUCAGUUCAAGAUUGAGAAAGUUGUUGGGCACGAUACGCAUAUAGAGAAGACUUACAUUUAACUCGCCUCAAGGGGAUGAAGGAAGGCUCGAACUUGCACCAUACCAAAUAUGUGUCCCUGUUUUGCUCCACUCGACCAACCCCUUGCGUUUGAAUUUGUUUUAUUUUGAUAGUAAGAGAGCUUGAUAAAAUCCAAUUAAUUAUAUUGGCUUUAUGUUGAAUUUGGAUUCGUUUAACCUUCAGAAGUAGAAUGUAAGUAGCAGAAAGGAGAGUGAAGAAAUGCCUCCAAUAAAAACCUAUACUGGUCUGUAGCAUGUGUUUUGUUAUCUUUGCAUCUGUGCUAAUAAGUCAAUCAAAGGUAUAGCAAAUUGGUCAGGUAAAUAUAGAGUGCAAAAGUUGUAAAAGUUAUUUGUAACAGAAGCUCGGCAAACAUAUUUGUUACCAAGGAUACCAUGAUUUUCUAUUUGGUAUUUGAAAGUUUCGUAGCUUCAUGGCCAACAGAAGUACAGACUGUACAGUUCAAGUAUACUUCAUGUUGGGUUAAAACUUAAAAGCCUUUUGAACUUCAACGGACAGAUAAGAAGCUAUUUGAACUUACAUGUCCUUAUUUGUAAGCAUUUUGCUCCAUUGUGUUGGACUUACAACUUCCUUACAUUCUUAAACAAAAUACCAUUUUGUAUUUGAAGUGGGCAUGGAGAUAAACACUUCAAAGAUUCAUGGUAACAUAAACGGACUUUCAUUCCUAUCCUAAGAAGAGUUCCGUUUACAUUUUAUCUUAAAGUGAAAUAUCCAUUUUCACUAAUACAAACGGAUAACCAAAUACAUCAUAGCUCGUUUAUGCAUUGGUCAUAGACAUUCUGACUCUGCAAUGACAUUAUUAGUAUACACAACAAUUCAGAACAUCGAUUUAUACAUUUUUUUAAAGGGAGGUGUGAGGCUGUUCCUUUCUGUCACUUUACCUUAAUAUCAUACAUAAGGACAACCAUUUAGUUCAUUUAUUUAUAAAACAUUGCAUAAAUUUCAAACUAGAAGGACAACCACAGAUAAUGGGUUCUUGAGAAAUUUGGGAACAAUGAAAUUGCUCAGUCAAGAGCUCUUAUCCAUUCAUUUGCAUAUGCAAAUUGAAACUCAAAUAAAAAAUGCCAAAAUAUAGGAUGGCAUUUCUCUUGAAAAAAGAAAAAGAAAAAACUGAACACAUGGGAAGAAGGGGAGGCUACAAAUGCCUUUUUGUAUGUAGAUUUCAAACUUAGUAGCCUGCUGGUCUGUGUGCAAUGAAACUGAUGCACUGCACUUGGCGAACAUUGUCGAAUCCAAUGAUGCGCACAAAAGCGUUGGGGUAUGCCUUCACAGCCUCAUCAAGUUCCUUCAACACCUGGGUAGCAUCACUGCAUCCAAACAUGGGGAGCUUCCACAUGGUCCAGUAGCGUCCGUCAUAGUAUCCAGGUGACUUGUGGUUCUCACGGUAGACAAAGCCUUUCUGCACACACAAAAUGCAGCAACAGAUCAUCAAUCAUCAAAGCUAAAAGUUUAAUUAACAUGUUUGGAUCGGUACCGAUACACAAUUCUAAGCACGGUAACUCGAGAAGCUACACUUUGUGGAGUUUCCUACCGCAAAACCAAACAAG
rnacentral:lncRNA from 1 species